CUGCUCCAGGGACUUUCUGGUCGUCGCUCCUCCGCGGGGGCCUGCGGCUGCGCCAGCCCCGGUACCUGGCUUUCCAAGGGCUCCAUUGGCAACUCGGCCCUGGCUUGG